rnacentral:lncRNA from 1 species
GCACUGGUUUGUACACGAAUGCGUGAGUUAUACCGAAUACUCAGUAAAUUAUAGACCACUUCAAAUCUUUGUUUUCGAGAGGGAUAAUCAACUCCGCAAAUAUCGAUCGAAACUUGAACCCUUGUAUAGGUAUGCAAUUUCAGAAAGCACAACAAUUGAAAUAGGUAGUCCGUAUUGGUAUCAGAUCUAUUCCCAUGUUCCGAUCUUUCCAUUUUUUUGCAAACCACAACAAUUGAAAUAGGUAGUCCGUAUUGGUAUCGGAUCUAUUCCCAUGUUCCGAUCUUU